AACGAACGCUGGCGGUAUGCCUAACACAUGCAAGUCGAACGAGACCUUCGGGUCUAGUGGCGCACGGGGGCGUAACGCGUGGGAACAUGCCCUUAGGUUCGGAAUAACUACCCGAAAGGGGUGCUAAUACCGGAUAAUGUCUUCGGACCAAAGAUUUAUCGCCUUUGGAUGGGCCGGCGUUGGAUUAGCUAGUUGGUAGGGUAAAAGCCUACCAAGGCGACGAUCCAUAGCUGGUCUGAGAGGAUGAUCAGCCACACUGGGACUGAGACACGGCCCAGACUCCUACGGGAGGCAGCAGUGGGGAAUAUUGGACCACGGGCGAAAGCCUGAUCCAGCAAUGCCGCGUGAGUGAUGAAGGCCUUAGGGUUGUAAAGCUUUUUUACCCGGGAUGAUAAUGACAGUACCGGGAGAAUAAGCGCCGGCUAACUCCGUG
rnacentral:rRNA from 1 species